GACGUAGGGCGCGAGCGUUGUCCGGAUUUAUUGGGCGUAAAGAGCUCGUAGGCGGCUUGUCGCGUCGAAUGUGAAAUCUCAGGGCUCAACUCUGACAUUGCAUUCGAUACGGGCAGGCUCGAGUUCGGUAGGGGAGACUGGAAUUCCUGGUGUAGCGGUGAAAUGCGCAGAUAUCAGGAGGAACACCGGUGGCGAAGGCGGGUCUCUGGGCCGAUAUUGACGCUGAGGAGCGAAAGCGUGGGGAGCGAACAGG
rnacentral:rRNA from 1 species